UGGCACACGUAGGCGGUGAGAUUUUUCUUAGUCUCCCCUUGACCGUUAUGCGUUGUCAUUUGAAUAGCUGUGCUUUGAAAGGUUUGCAUAUUUUAUGACGUCACUAAGACGCUCAAUUUAUGGGUUGAAUAUUUUACCGCUGAGGAAUUUAGAGCCAAUUUCUCGAAGAUUCAUUGCACAUCUCGAUCAGGAUUUUAAAGAUAUUUUUUGUUAGCUGAAGAAGAAAACCUUCGCACUUCGCCUUGAUGCGUACAGAGUCCUCUGCCUGGUGUAAAUUCACCAUUAAAACCGCGUUAUAAAAAGGAUAUUUCAACAAACUCUUCACAUUGAAAAUGGAGAUUAAUUCACGCGCUAAAUUAUAUUUCAUACCUGAGCCACGUGUUUUCAUUUAGGAACCGGAACAUAAAGUAUUUUUAAUAUAUAUUGUAACGCCAAAAAAUAUACAAAUAUCUUGAAUAAUAGACAAAUGAUAGUCACAGA